GGCUCAUAAAAAAUUAUCAAAUGACGUUUACGGCAAUGUCAAAUACUUCUUACGGAGCAGAAAAUAAAAUAUAAGAAUGAGAAGAACCGCUGCUUCUGAUUUGCCACCAAGAGGUCUGAUAACACAACGUGCCCCUACUCUAACUGAUAUUCCUGUUCGGCAUCUUCCAUCUGCUCCUCCGUUACCGACUAGAGUGCACACACAGCCUUUUUUAGCGCAUGCGAGUGUUCCUGGAGGGUUGACUCAAUCGGGGAAUUAUAGAAGGUUCGAAGAUCUGGACUAUGAAAUUGCGCCGAAAUCAAGUAUUUUGCUGCCUCAUCUUCAAGCUAAUGAGAAGAAAUUCUUCGAGUUAGUUCAUUCUGGUGACGUUGAAGAUGUUAGAAAAUUUUUGGAGAACAACCUCGACUUCAACAUCAACUGUGUCAAUUUCCAAGGAGUCUCAGCACUCCUCGUAGCUGUGCAAACCAGAAAUGAUCAUAUGGUGGAAUUUCUCAUUUCUCAAAAUGGUAUAGAUAUAGGAGAUGCAGUACUGCAUGCAGUACGUGAUAACCAGCUGAAAAUAGUGGAGCUCUUACUGGAAAAACUCCAUUCUACCGCUCCCAGCUUGGAGUUCGUAGGUGUGACACAUAGUUCCGAUUUUCCAGACUACAUGACACCAUUAAUAUUGGCUGCGCAAGAAGGUCACUUUGAAAUUAUUGAGAUGUUGAUACAAAGAGGUCAUGUUAUAGCAAAACCACAUUCUCCGAAAUGUAGAUGUGAUGAUUGUAUUCUUCAUCUUGAAAGGGAUGAUCUGUUACAUGCUGAAACUCUCAGGUUGGACUUAUACAAAGCUAUAACCAACCCAGCUUUCAUUUGUCAUUCUACUAAUGACCCCAUACUAACUGCUUUUCAACUUUGUGCAGAACUCAGACUUUGUGCUUGGUUAGUGGUGGAGUUCAGAGAUCAAUAUCAAGAAUUAGCAGAUGCUAUCAGUGAUUUUGCUGUAGAACUAAUAGCAUGUUGUAGAAGCACUACGGAAAUGGAGAUUAUAUUGACGCAGACGGGGGGUUUGCCAUCGAAUAAUUAUCAGUUUCCUAGACUGGUCCUGGCUAUGGACUUGAAACAGAAAUCCUUUGUAGCACAUCCAAAUACUCAGCAGUUGGUGGAAGCAGCUUGGGUAGGUGACUGGCAUGAUUAUAUCAUCAAGCCUACCCUUAUCAAACUGAUAUAUCCAAUAUAUAGGAUAAUCGUUCUUCCUUUUAUUUGUCUGAUGUGUAUCUUCAUACCAAGUCAUCCUUUGGUCUUGCAUUGGAGAAUACCUUUGAAUAAGAUGAUAUCUCACACCGCAGGUUAUCUGGUAUUCUUAGUGAUAAUAUUCUUAGAAUCCAACAUAAGUAAGGAAAAUCAGAAGAGAAAACCCCCAAACAGCGGGCUCGAACCCGUGAUUUGCGUUUUCGUGGCUGGAUACACGUGGAACUGCUUCAGAAUGUGUUUGAUUCAGGGACCUUCAAGAUAUUUUAGAGCACUAUGGAAUUGGCAUGCUGUAUUAACCAAUAUGUUCUUUAUUCUGACCUUUCUCUUCUGGAUUGCUUCCUAUUGGGAUGCCAAGAAGAAUGACCAAGUGGACUUGGAAAGGAAAUAUUGGAAUCAGUUGGAUCCUGUUCUGAUAUCUGAAGGAACUUUCGCUGUCGCAACUGUCAUGGCAUACUUCAGACUUAUGUUCUUCUGCAGGCUGAACUACUACAUGGGACCAGUUCAAAUAUCGCUGGGUAAAAUGUGUGCGGACAUUGCAAAGUACCUGACAAUUUUCAUCAUUAUAUUGAUAUCCUUUACCUGUGCUAUGUGCAGAUUUUAUCAAUACUAUGAUGGUAUGGUUCAAGUCGACGAAAAUGGUAUUAAAACUCAACAAGUAUCUUCGUUCGUUAAUUUCCAAAAAACUCUCAAGACUUUCUUCUGGGGCCUGCUGGGAAUGUCACCUUUAGAAUCAGCCGAUGUGAUAAUUGCUAAUCUACCAGGUCCGAAAGAAAACACCACUAUCAUCAAUAGCCAUGACUUCACAGAAAACAUGGGAUACGUCUGCUUCGCCGUUUACGAGAUGCUGACGAUGACGAUGAUAAUGAAUAUGCUGAUUGCCACCAUGUCUUCCACUUUCCAAAGAGUCCUGGAUAAUUUGAAUACUGAAUGGACCUUCUGGAAGACAGACUUCUACUUGGAAUAUAUGAUUCAGUCUACUCUGCCUCCUCCUUUGAACCUAAUUCCGACCCAGCUUGGAUUCAAUUUAAUCAAGCAGGUAGCCAGCUUCUCUGCUAAUGAUGCUCAAGAUAUUUGGCCACAGGAUGUUCACUCGGAAUAUUAAGCAACGAUUUUAGAAUUGGCAAAUCUACUGCGGCCACUAUAAUACCAUAUGUAUGUGAAACUAUUUGGAAAGAAUUGAGACCCAUUGUUAUGAGUGAACCAACGAAAGAAAAGUGAGGACCAAAGAGCCAGCGAUUAUAAUGCCCUUAUUUCCCAGUUGGUUCAACGAUAUUUCCGAGAGAAGGACACGGUUACAACAACAAGUGAAAUCGAAGAACUUCGCCAAGAGAUCAAUGAGCUCAAACUAGCUUGUA